rnacentral:rRNA from 1 species
UACAGAGGUCCCAAGCGUUGUUCGGAUUCACUGGGCUUAAAGGGCGCGUAGGCGGACCUCCAAGUCCGGGGUGAAAUCUUUCGGCUUAACCGGAAAAGUGCCUUGGAUACUGGGGGUCUCGAGGGAGGCAGGGGCGGAUGGAACUUCCGGUGGAGCGGUGAAAUGCGUUGAUAUCGGAAGGAACGCCGGUGGCGAAAGCGAUCCGCUGGACCUCUUCUGACGCUGAGGCGCGAAAGCCAGGGGAGCAAACGGG